rnacentral:snRNA from 1 species
AUAUGUGAGGGUGAUGUGGCUGCAACAUCGGCCACCCCACUGAUCAUCAGGGUUGAUUCAGCUGAUCUGGCUGGCUAGGCAGGUGUCCCUUUGCUCCUUUUCUGUUCCAUGUGUGUCUCUGCAUGCUUGGUCAAAAUGGGUGACAAACCCUGAUAGAGGAGGAUGAGUUAUUGGUCUGGGUUAUAUAAGUAGCUGCACUCCCCUGCUCGAACCUCCAAACAACCUCUCAAGAAGACAUACAAAUAGUCAACAAACAUGAAAAAUCAUCAUCAUGGAAAUGCAAAUCAAAACCACAAUGAGAUAUCAUUU